rnacentral:rRNA from 1 species
AGGACGAACGCUGGCGGCGUGCUUAACACAUGCAAGUCGAACGAGAUCCAUUCAGUAGCAAUACUGAUGAAGGUCGAGUGGCGAACGGGUGAGUAACACGUGAGGAACCUAUCCUGGUCUCUGGGAUAACAGUCGGAAACAACUGCUAAUACCGGAUGCCGUCGGAGCGCUGCAUGGCGCACUGACGAAAGGGUUACUGGAUCAGGAGGGUCUCGCGGCCUAUCAGCUUGUUGGUGGGGUAAUGGCCUACCAAGGCGACGACGGGUA